rnacentral:rRNA from 1 species
UACGAAGGGGGCUAGCGUUGUUCGGAAUUACUGGGCGUAAAGCGUAUGCAGGCGGAUCGUUAAGUCGGGGGUGAAAUCCCGAGGCUCAACCUCGGAACUGCCUUCGAUACUGGCGAUCUUCGAGUCCGGGAGAGGUGAGUGGAAUUCCGAGUGUAGAGGUGAAAUUCGUAGAUAUUCGGAAGAACACCAGUGGCGAAGGCGACUUACUGGACACAUAUUGACGCUGAGGUGCGAAAGCGUGGGGAGCAAACAGG